AACGUUGGGCUCAGGCGACGGUCAUGCGUCGCCUUUCCAGCCGGAAGUAGCCACUCGCGCGGCGAAGCAACGCUCC
rnacentral:ncRNA from 1 species